rfam:Hordeum vulgare subsp. vulgare, WGS project CAJW01000000 data, contig: morex_contig_41091
AUAGUACUCCCUCCGUCCUAAAAUUCUUGUCUUUAAUUUGUCUAGAUAUGAACGUAUCUAGUUAUGUAUUAGUAUUUAGAUAUAUUCAUUUUUAAAUAAAACUAAGAUAAUUUUUUUGGGAAGGAGUAGUAUUAU